rnacentral:rRNA from 1 species
UACGGGGGGGGCAAGCGUUGUUCGGAAUUACUGGGCGUAAAGGGCUCGUAGGCGGCCAACUAAGCCGGAUGUGAAAUCCCCAGGCUUAACCUGGGAACUGCAUCCGAUACUGGAUGGCUUGAAUCCGGGAGAGGGAUGCAGAAUUCCAGGUGAAGCGGUGAAAUGCGUAGAUAUCUGGAGGAAUACCGGUGGCGAAGGCGGCAUCCUGGACCGGCAUUGACGCUGAUGAGCGAAAGCUAGGGGAGCAAACGGG